rnacentral:lncRNA from 1 species
GGUUCGGCCAAACCCGCAAGACCUAUGCUAGCUCUCUGCCCGGGGGUUAGCAGUGUUUCAAUAUAAUACUCAAUCAAAAUGACCAAACAAAUGUGAGGAUUCGAUGUUAGUAGUAUUCUAACUCGGUUCAAAUAGUUAGAAAUAGUUGGUUGGUACAAGUACUUAGAUAUCUUAACUACAAGUUGGUUAAAUUUUUAUUGGUCGAAAAAAAGAAGAGGGAAGAAACAUCUUCAAGCUAAAUAUGCAGCUCCGGUAUUUUGCGAAACUGUAUUUGCAUGAAGUUGAACAUCUUUAAGUAGUUUACAAUCUGCAAUAGAAGAUUCAAGAUUAAGUAAAAGCCAUUUGUCACAAAUGCGAAUGCUCAUCAAUGCGCCCUUUCUUAACGAAUGGAAAAUGAAAUUAAAACCUGAAAAUAGGUGGAUAUCAAUGCUGCAAGAUGCAUCUUAACCACUGAAAAGAAAGAAUAACAACUGAUGUCUUCAUUUGUUCUCCCCCCAAUAUGCACAUAUAUGAAAAUCAGACACAAUUAGUGAUGUCAAUUUAGCUGUCAGUCAUUUUUUUGUUAGUCUUCUAAUCAAUUGUAGACUUGGCAAUGGGGUGGAUUAAACUUUUUGUGAAGUAAAGCCUCAGCAGAGUGACCCACCCUGGUGCCAUCUCUAGUCAAUAGUCAGCUGCUGGAAAGAUAAUAGCACAUUGAAAAAGCUUUUGUGAAGCCCCUCUGAGUGUUGACCGGGCAAAGAUUGACAAAGAGACACAAAAGUUGGAAUUUUUAAUAGUUUCUUUCCUUAUCUUUGGUGCAUAUCCAAGAAAAGCACAACAGCUAAUAGAAACAAAGAGGAAUCCAAAGAUUUUGUUAGUACUGAUAUCUGUAUGUAGUAAACUAAUUAUGUCAAUAGAAAAUAAAGUUGUGAGCAUGGUAAUGAAAGAGUCACCUGCUAGCUUUCGGACCAAACUGCAUUCACAUUUUCUAGAAGUUCAAAAUUUGCAGUCAAUAAUAGUUUGAGAUUCAAGAUUCACUUUUACAACUGUGAAUCAUAUAUUAAGGCAUUAAGUCAUAAGUUAUUUUUUUUAGCAUAACAAGAUGAAGCUAAACUUUGAGAUAUAAUAAUUGAAUGAAAUGCCCAGAACCUGCAGCAACUACAAAGAUGCAAAAUCCUAAUAAAAUAUUUUCAUUUUUCAAAGCACAGAACAUUGUGCCUGAAAGUCAUAGGGCCCUAUAUUAUAUUCAUGCUUUAUGUCACGACCCAUUUUCUGAACAAGCCGGGACCGGCACUCGAUCACUAAACAUGACCGAGCGAACCAUCUCUGUUUAUCAAAUCUAUUAUAACUCCAAACUUUAUAUGCAACAAGGCAAUACUCUAACCAAAUACUUUUGAUUAAUUUAAACAUUUAAAUAAAUUAACUCCAAAACUUUAUUCAUAGUAACCAAUGAAAUACUGCUAAGUUAUUAUCAAAAACAUCUGAAUCUUAACCCAACGACUAUGUCUAUGAAGCCUCUACUGAUAAACUGACGCACUGCUCAGGACAUGAGAUUUCUUGGCCAGUUCUCUAAGUAACAAAGAAAUAACUAAAUAAAGAUGACUCUAACUCGUACAAAAGCGGAGCUCACCAAUAGCACUGGAAGAGAAGGAAGUCCUAACUCGUAGCCUGCUCACCUGCAAAUCCGGUUCCUACGUUGUAUCGCAGACCAACGUAGGUUCCCAAAAGAGAACGUCAGUACCAUCCAUUGUACUCAGUGAGUCUCAACACAGGGGGCGAGACUUUAAUAAUAUAUACAUUACGAGAAAAGGUUCUAAAUGCAUGUAAAACAUAAAGCUUAUAAGAAUAAUUCUAUAUAAUUGCAUAAUAGCAGUUUAUGAAUAUUCUAAAAGAAAUUCUUUUCUUUUUCUUUCUUUUAAAAAAAACAUACUUCACUUUAUACUUUGGGAGUUCCAACUAUCCUGACAUGUUUCUGUCUUAGUCACCGUGUGAUCGGCGCGGGUUCGAUCCCAACCUGAUCGAAUAGGCCCAAUCCACGAGGUGUCACUCGAUUCAUGGUUCUCAGCGCUCAUGUAUCAUACCUUAGCUUAGCUAAGAAAAUUCUCAGCAAUGAGACCCUCGGCUCGUGUGCUCCCUACUUUGGCACAAGUAGUUUCAGGAAGUCAACGUCUUGGUCAGGACCCUCGGCCUGGACGAUGACCCCUUCUCAGAAUAAAGGAUACUCCAAAAAAAAAUCUUUUCUUUCUAAAACUUCUUCUUGUGACUUUUCAAGUCUAAAUCUUUUCUUUUUUGGAACAUCAUGUACAUGCUCAUGCUGGAAUCCUUAAAUGUAAAUCAUGGGAUAAGAAUGAAAUAAACAUCUAAAAGUAUUUCUAAACAUUCUUGCUUCUUCAUAAAUUUUCAACAUGAAAAUAGCAUAUAAGAAUAACAUAAAAAUCAGAAAAUUUAUGCACAUAUAUCAUAAUAAAUCAUCUAAACUUUUGUUAGAACAAUUCUAAGUUAAUAGGUACUCACUCGCUCCAAUUAAGUAAAUAUAAACUCUUUUAAGCAAUUCAUCAAACACCUUGUAUGCGUGCUUUUGUGAGUUAAACCACUUUAGUAAAGGGUUAUCAACUCACCUCAAAACUCUUUGAGCCAAUACGUAGACCCCAGUCCAAUUUAUACCCGUCAAACAAUUGAUUCUACAACAACCAAUGCAUUUUAAUUAAUUAUAAAGUUUAACACCUAAAAAUGAGAUUUAUUGGUGAUAUAGAGGAAGAAAGGAAUUAACUAUUCAAUUAUUACCUAUUACAACUGUGGGGUAAUUGAUAAUAGAGAAAUUCACAUACCUGAGUUUAAGAAUUAGUGAUUUGUAAAGAACCCUAGAAUUUUUUUUUUCAUUUCCUGCGUUCGCUGCAUAAACAGAUCAGCGUUCUGUUUUUUUUUUUGUGUGUUAGUAUUCUGUUGCUUAUUCUUUGGACCCUUUUGAGUUUUGACGUCAAAGGCAAGGCUUUAAAGCCUUAAGCCUUUUUCUUUCAUCAGCCCUUUAUGGGCUUAAGCUUGUCCUCCAAUUCUUU